GAUGAACGCUGGCGGCGUGCCUAACACAUGCAAGUCGAACGAUUAAAGCACCUUCGGGUGUGUAUAAAGUGUGGAACGGCUGAGUGACACAUGGGCACACUGUCCCCCUCAUUGGGGUAGAAACGCUAAACCCUGGAUCAAAUCGAAGACACCGGGUCUUCCGCCUUGUUGACCCGCGAAAACUACGGCGGGGAGGGAUGGGCCCGCGGCCCGUUAGCUUGUUGGUGGGGUAAUGGCCUACCAAGGCAAUGACGGGUAGCCGGGUUGAGAGGCCGACCGGCCAGAUUGGGACUGAGACACGGCCCAGACUCCUACGGGAGGCAGCAGUGGGGAAUAUUGCACAAUGGGCGAAAGCCUGAUGCAGCAACGCCGCGUGCGGGAUGACGGCCUUCGGGUUGUAAACCGCUUUCAGCAGGGAAGAAGCGAAAGUGACGGUACCUGCAGAAGAAGCCCCGGCUAACUACGUG
rnacentral:rRNA from 1 species